rnacentral:lncRNA from 1 species
AAUUACAUCAGACAGCAUAAAUGACACGCGAGAAACACUGUUGUCAUCUAAAAAGGUUAAGCUAACAGGGCUUGAGAGUGAUAUAACUUGAUUUAUGUUUUACGUUUUGAUGGAAUUUAAUUUUCACUCCUUCCAUCUUUAAAACCCUUCAUAGCAUUUUGACAUAUGGGCAAGCUAUAAUUUUAGAUAUUGGAUUCUGCAUGACAAAAAGAUACUACCAAAUUAAAAGGACAAGUUGCAGUGAAUGAUUACUAGACCAGCUAUCCUACAUAGAAGAGAGUAAAGUGCCACUAAGGGAUCAAACAUUCAUAAAACUAAUUUAGCACAAGCGAAGAUGUUAAGGUAAAUUUACAGGAAGGGAUAAAAUAUAAAAUGCAUGCGCGCCAACAAGUGAGGUAAUACCAAUUAAUAGGGAUAAUUCGAUGCCAGCACGUAACACUGAACAGAAGAAAACGGAAAAAAGGAUAAAUACCAAUGAGCCCAUGUUUAGCGUAUAAGGCUUAGUUUGUUGUUAGCUGACCUUCUCCUACACUCUUCCUUCAACCAAAUUAGAAGCCUAGGAAAAAUAUAAGUGGUUCUAGUGUUCAACUACUUGAUUGAAUUAUUUAGAAUCAUAGAACCCUGGAAGGGGAUGGAAAUGGUGUUUGAUAACUCGACUAACUUAUCAUCAUGUUAUCUUUUUGAGCAACGUUGAAUUUUGACAAUUGACAUACUUGAUAUCUCUCAGCUCCUAAAUCACACAUUCUUCAUGGCAGAUUCCUUUUCAUAAAGCUAUGUGUAGCAUAUAGACAUAAUACAUGGUCAUAGAACAUUCAUUUAAAAAAUUAAAAAAAAAAAAAAAAAUUCAUAAAAAAUUAAAUUAAAAAUAGUUCACUGAAUAGGACAUAAUCAUAUUAAAAAAUUCUGAGUAAUACGCAUAUGUUCUUAAGAAGAUACUUUGGGAACUACAUUUUGAGAAGAAUAAACAUUGUUCUAAA